AGGCAUUGAGGCAGCCAGCGCAGGGGCUUCUGCUGAGGGGGCAGGCGGAGCUUGAGGAAACCGCAGAUAAGUUUUUUUCUCUUUGAAAGAUAGAGAUUAAUACAACUACUUAAAAAAUAUAGUCAAUAGGUUACUAAGAUAUUGCUUAGCGUUAAGUUUUUAACGUAAUUUUAAUAGCUUAAGAUUUUAAGAGAAAAUAUGAAGACUUAGAAGAGUAGCAUGAGGAAGGAAAAGAUAAAAGGUUUCUAAAACAUGACGGAGGUUGAGAUGAAGCUUCUUCAUGGAGUAAAAAAUGUAUUUAAAAGAAAAUUGAGAGAAAGGACUACAGAGCCCCGAAUUAAUACCAAUAGAAGGGCAAUGCUUUUAGAUUAAAAUGAAGGUGACUUAAACAGCUUAAAGUUUAGUUUAAAAGUUGUAGGUGAUUUAAUAAUAAUUUAAAACUACUAUAGAAACUGCAGAGCAAAGGAAGUGGCUUAAUGAUCCUGAAGGGAUUUCUUCUGAUGGUAGCUUUUGUAUUAUCAAGUAAGAUUCUAUUUUCAGUUGUGUGUAAGCAAGUUUUUUUUUAGUGUAGGAGAAAUACUUUUCCAUUGUUUAACUGCAAAACAAGAUGUUAAGGUAUGCUUCAAAAAUUUUGUAAAUUGUUUAUUUUAAACUUAUCUGUUUGUAAAUUGUAACUGAUUAAGAAUUGUGAUAGUUCAGCUUGAAUGUCUC
rnacentral:lncRNA from 1 species